CCACGCCGUAAACGAUGUCUACUAGUCGUUGGGUCCCUUGAGGACUUAGUGACGCAGCUAACGCAAUAAGUAGACCGCCUGGGGAGUACGGCCGCAAGGUUAAAACUCAAAUGAAUUGACGGGGGCCCGCACAAGCGGUGGAGCAUGUGGUUUAAUUCGAUGCAACGCGAAGAACCUUACCUGGCCUUGACAUACCAAGAGUUUGCUAGAGAUAGCGAAGUGCCUUCGGGAACUUGGAUACAGGUGCUGCAUGGCUGU
rnacentral:rRNA from 1 species